rnacentral:rRNA from 1 species
UACGGGAAGCAGCAGUGGGGAAUAUUGCACAAUGGGCGCAAGCCUGAUGCAGCCAUGCCGCGUGUAUGAAGAAGGCCUUCGGGUUGUAAAGUACUUUCAGUCGUGAGGAAGGUGUUAAGGUUAAUAACCUUAGCAAUUGACGUUAGCGACAGAAGAAGCACCGGCUAACUCCGUGCCAGCAGCCGCGGUAAUACGGAGGGUGCGAGCGUUAAUCGGAAUUACUGGGCGUAAAGGGCACGCAGGCGGUUAAUUAAGUUGGAUGUGAAAUCCCCGGGCUUAACCUGGGAAUGGCAUUCAAGACUGGUUAGCUAGAGUCUUGUAGAGGGGGUAGAAUUCCAUGUGUAGCGGUGAAAUGCGUAGAGAUGUGGAGGAAUACCGGUGGCGAAGGCGGCCCCUGGGACAAAGACUGACGCUCAUGUGCGAAAGCGUGGGGAGCAAACAGGAUUAGAUACC